AUAGCACAAAGAAGGAAAAUACCUCUAUGUCGGUUGAAUAGCUCUACAUGACCUUCUAACUUCAGUAACAAGUGACUGAGAAAUUUUACAUGCUUUAUUUGUUUGAGCACUUAUUUCUCGACUCUCUCGAUCACCAAUGUCUUCUAUCUUAAUAUAUUUGAGCUCUUUAGAAGUAACUGAUGGGUAAUCCUGAGUUUUAUUUUUGUCAUUGUGCAUCUUCAUCUCAUUGAAUGUAACAUCUCUGCUCUUGAUGACUUGUUGAUUAUGAUAGUCCCAUAACUUGUACCUAAAUCCAUAUGAGCCAUAACUAAUACAUGUACACUUGACGAAUUUCAAGUCAAAUUUACUUCAGGACCUUGCAUCAACAUGGACAUAUGCAGAACACUCGCAUGCUUUCAAGUGGAUAGAUCUACCUUAUCAGUUCAGACUUAUUCAGUAAUUAAGGAGGAGAAGGACAUGCUGGUUCUUGCUAGUUGUUGCACGGCCAGCGGUCAACAUUUCCUACUUGUCAAACAGUGAUAAUCGUGUGGUUUGAGAGUUGAUUUCAUUUUC